rnacentral:rRNA from 1 species
AGUGAACGCUGGCGGUAGGCCUAACACAUGCAAGUCGAGCGGCAGCACAUUAAGAGCUUGCUCUUACGGGUGGCGAGUGGCGGACGGGUGAGGAAUACAUCGGAAUCUACUUUUUCGUGGGGGAUAACGUAGGGAAACUUACGCUAAUACCGCAUACGACCUACGGGUGAAAGCAGGGGAUCCUCGGACCUUGCGCGAUUGAAUGAGCUGAUGUCGGAUUAGCUAGUUGGCGGGGUAAAGGCCCACCAAGGCGACGCUCCGUAGCUGGUCUGAGAGGAUGAUCAGCCAAACUGGAACUGAGACACGGUCCAGACUCCUACGGGAGGAAGCAGUGGGGAAUAUUGGACAAUGGGAGCAAGCAUGAUCCAGCCAUACCGCGUGGGUGAAGAAGGCCUUCGGGUUGUAAAGCCCUUUUGUUGGGAAAGAAAAGCAGCAGGUUAAUAACCCGCUGUUCUGACGGUACCCAAAGAAUAAGCACCGGCUAACUUCGUG